rnacentral:rRNA from 1 species
ACGGUUAAGUUAGAAAGGGCGCACGGUGGAUGCCUUGGCACUAGGAGCCGAUGAAGGACGGGACGAACACCGAUAUGCUUCGGGGAGCUGUAAGCAAGCUUUGAUCCGGAGAUUUCCGAAUGGGGAAACCCACCACUCGUAAUGGAGUGGUAUCCAUAUCUGAAUACAUAGGAUAUGAGAAGGCAGACCCGGGGAACUGAAACAUCUAAGUACCCGGAGGAAGAGAAAGCAAAUGCGAUUCCCUGAGUAGCGGCGAGCGAAACGGGACCAGCCCAAACCAAGAGGCUUGCCUCUUGGGGUUGUAGGACACUCUGUACGGAGUUACAAAGGAACGAGGUAGAUGAAGAGGUCUGGAAAGGCCCGCCAUAGGAGGUAACAGCCCUGUAGUCAAAACUUCGUUCUCUCCUGAGUGGAUCCUGAGUACGGCGGAACACGUGAAAUUCCGUCGGAAUCCGGGAGGACCAUCUCCCAAGGCUAAAUACUCCCUAGUGACCGAUAGUGAACCAGUACCGUGAGGGAAAGGUGAAAAGCACCCCGGAAGGGGAGUGAAAGAGAUCCUGAAACCGUGUGCCUACAAGUAGUCAGAGCCCGUUAACGGGUGAUGGCGUGCCUUUUGUAGAAUGAACCGGCGAGUUACGAUCCCGUGCAAGGUUAAGCAGAAGAUGCGGAGCCGCAGCGAAAGCGAGUCUGAAUAGGGCGAAUUGAGUACGUGGUCGUAGACCCGAAACCAGGUGAUCUACCCAUGUCCAGGGUGAAGUUCAGGUAACACUGAAUGGAGGCCCGAACCCACGCACGUUGAAAAGUGCGGGGAUGAGGUGUGGGUAGGGGUGAAAUGCCAAUCGAACCUGGAGAUAGCUGGUUCUCUCCGAAAUAGCUUUAGGGCUAGCCUCAAGGUAAGAGUCUCGGAGGUAGAGCACUGAUUGGACUAGGGGCCCCUACCGGGUUACCGAAUUCAGUCAAACUCCGAAUGCCGAUGACUUAUCCUUGGGAGUCAGACUGCGAGUGAUAAGAUCCGUAGUCGAAAGGGAAACAGCCCAGACCGCCAGCUAAGGUCCCAAAGUAUACGUUAAGUGGAAAAGGAUGUGGAGUUGCUUAGACAACCAGGAUGUUGGCUUAGAAGCAGCCACCAUUUAAAGAGUGCGUAAUAGCUCACUGGUCGAGUGACUCUGCGCCGAAAAUGUACCGGGGCUAAACGUAUCACCGAAGCUGCGGACUGUUCUUCGAACAGUGGUAGGAGAGCGUUCUAAGGGCUGUGAAGCAAGACCGGAAGGACUUGUGGAGCGCUUAGAAGUGAGAAUGCCGGUAUGAGUAGCGAAAGAGGGGUGAGAAUCCCCUCCACCGAAUGCCUAAGGUUUCCUGAGGAAGGCUCGUCCGCUCAGGGUUAGUCGGGACCUAAGCCGAGGCCGAAAGGCGUAGGCGAUGGAUAACAGGUUGAUAUUCCUGUACCACCUCCUCACCAUUUGAGCAAUGGGGGGACGCAGGAGGAUAGGGUAAGCGCGGUAUUGGAUAUCCGCGUCCAAGCAGUUAGGCUGGGAAAUAGGCAAAUCCGUUUCCUGUGAAGGCUGAGCUGUGAUGGCGAGCGAAUUAUAGUAGCGAAGUUCCUGAUUCCACACUGCCAAGAAAAUCCUCUAGCGAGGUGAGAGGUGCCCGUACCGCAAACCGACACAGGUAGGCGAGGAGAGAAUCCUAAGGUGAUCGAGAGAACUCUCGUUAAGGAACUCGGCAAAAUGACCCCGUAACUUCGGGAGAAGGGGUGCUCUGUUAGGGUGCAAGCCCGAGAGAGCCGCAGUGAAUAGGCCCAGGCGACUGUUUAGCAAAAACACAGGUCUCUGCGAAGCCGUAAGGCGAAGUAUAGGGGCUGACGCCUGCCCGGUGCUGGAAGGUUAAGAGGAGCGCUUAGCGUAAGCGAAGGUGCGAAUUGAAGCCCCAGUAAACGGCGGCCGUAACUAUAACGGUCCUAAGGUAGCGAAAUUCCUUGUCGGGUAAGUUCCGACCCGCACGAAAGGCGCAACGAUCUGGGCACUGUCUCAACGAGAGACUCGGUGAAAUUAUAGUACCUGUGAAGAUGCAGGUUACCCGCGACAGGACGGAAAGACCCCGUGGAGCUUUACUGCAGCCUGAUAUUGAAUGUUGGUACAGCUUGUACAGGAUAGGUAGGAGCCUUGGAAACCGGAGCGCCAGCUUCGGUGGAGGCAUCGGUGGGAUACUACCCUGGCUGUAUUGACCUUCUAACCCGCCGCCCUUAUCGGGCGGGGAGACAGUGUCAGGUGGGCAGUUUGACUGGGGCGGUCGCCUCCUAAAAGGUAACGGAGGCGCCCAAAGGUUCCCUCAGAAUGGUUGGAAAUCAUUCGCAGAGUGUAAAGGCACAAGGGAGCUUGACUGCGAGACCUACAAGUCGAGCAGGGACGAAAGUCGGGCUUAGUGAUCCGGUGGUUCCGCAUGGAAGGGCCAUCGCUCAACGGAUAAAAGCUACCCCGGGGAUAACAGGCUUAUCUCCCCCAAGAGUCCACAUCGACGGGGAGGUUUGGCACCUCGAUGUCGGCUCAUCGCAUCCUGGGGCUGUAGUCGGUCCCAAGGGUUGGGCUGUUCGCCCAUUAAAGCGGUACGCGAGCUGGGUUCAGAACGUCGUGAGACAGUUCGGUCCCUAUCCGUCGCGGGCGCAGGAAAUUUGAGAGGAGCUGUCCUUAGUACGAGAGGACCGGGAUGGACGCACCGCUGGUGUACCAGUUGUUCUGCCAAGGGCAUCGCUGGGUAGCUAUGUGCGGACGGGAUAAGUGCUGAAAGCAUCUAAGCAUGAAGCCCCCCUCAAGAUGAGAUUUCCCAUUCCGCAAGGAAGUAAGAUCCCUGAAAGAUGAUCAGGUUGAUAGGUCUGAGGUGGAAGUGUGGCGACACAUGGAGCUGACAGAUACUAAUCGAUCGAGGACUUAACCAA